rnacentral:rRNA from 1 species
GACGAACCGUGCGAACGUUAUUCGGAAUCACUGGGCUUAAAGCGCGUGUAGGCGGGACGGCACGUCCGUCGCUGAAAUCCCCCGGCUCAACCGGGGAACGGGCGCGGAUACGACCGUCCUUGAGGGGCGUAGGGGGACCUGGAACUUCCGGUGGAGCGGUGAAAUGCGUUGAGAUCGGAAGGAACGCCCGUGGCGAAAGCGAGGUCCUGGACGCCUACUGACGCUGAGACGCGAAAGCCAGGGGAGCGAACGGG